CCUACGGGUGGCAGCAGUGAGGAAUAUUGGUCAAUGGGCGAGAGCCUGAACCAGCCAAGUCGCGUGAAGGAUGACGGCCCUACGGGUUGUAAACUUCUUUUGUCAGGGAGCAAUUGGGUCCACGCGUGGGCUUAGCGAGAGUACCUGAAGAAAAAGCAUCGGCUAACUCCGUGCCAGCAGCCGCGGUAAUACGGAGGAUGCGAGCGUUAUCCGGAUUUAUUGGGGUUAAAGGGUGCGUAGGCGGAAUAUCAAGUCAGCGGUAAAAAUUGCGGGGCUCAACCCCGUACUGCCGUUGAAACUGGAUCCCUUGAGUGCGCGAGAAGUAUGCGGAAUGCGUGGUGUAGCGGUGAAAUGCAUAGAUAUCACGCAGAACUCCGAUUGCGAAGGCAGCAUACCGGCGCGCAACUGACGCUCAUGCACGAAAGCGUGGGUAUCGAACAGGAUUAGAUACCCUUGUAGUC
rnacentral:rRNA from 1 species